GCCCGUCCUCUGCAUCCUGGACAUGGAGGGCAGCAGCGUCUCAGUGCUGGAGGGCAUCCCGGAGCACCUCUCCCCUGGCCAGGCCCUGUGGUCCCCGGAUGAUCGUGGUGUGGUGUUCGUGGGCUGGUGGCAUGAGCCCUUCCGCCUGGGGCUGAGUGCCUGCUCCAACAGGAGGUCAGGAAUUUUCCACUUGGACCUGGCCAGUGGGCACUGUGGUGAGCACCAGGGACGUGGAGGGUGCAGUGGCUCCCGGGGAUCCCCAGGGUGCUGACCCCCUGGUGCCCGCAGAGCUGCUGUCGGCUGAGCACGCUGCCGCCUGCUCCCCCCGGCUGAGCCCCGAUGGCCGGCGCCUGCUCUACCUGGAGGGGUGCCUGGGGGGGCCCCACCGGCAGUGCCUGCGCCUG